rnacentral:rRNA from 1 species
AUUGAACGCUGGCGGCAGGCCUAACACAUGCAAGUCGAACGAGUGGCGGACGGGUGAGUAAUGUCUGGGAAACUGCCUGAUGGAGGGGGAUAACUACUGGAAACGGUAGCUAAUACCGCAUACCAUCGGAUGUGCCCAGAUGGGAUUACCGAGUAGGUGGGGUAACGGCUCACCUAGGCGACGAUCCCUAGCUGGUCUGAGGGGAUGACCAGUCACACGGGCGCUGUGACACGGUCCAGACUCCUGAGGGUGGCUGCAGUGGGGAAUAUUGCACAAUGGGCGCAAGCCUGAUGCAGCCAUGCCGCGUGUAUGAGGAAGGCCUUCGGGUUGUAAAGUACUUUCGGCGGGGAGGCGUUACCCGCAGAAGAAGCACCGGCUAACGCCGUGCCAGCAGCCGCGGUUAUUC